AAUUAUAGUGGGUUGGUUUAGGAAGGCAAAGGGAUUUAGGCUUACUUUGCCACCCAAUUGUACUAUUUCUUUAUAACAUUACCGAAAUGCUCAUGAAGGAUCAAUCGGAGAUCUCAUUGCAGAUUCUCCUCACCCUCUGCAAUGGAUGUUGACCCAUUCAGAGUCUCAACUGACUCAUCGGCGCUGAUGAACUCAGUAGCAGCACCAUCAGAACCAUGAAACACUUUAGGCUACAGUGGAGGACGACCCAUUCAGAGCCUCAUCGGACUCAUUGGAGCCGUUGACCUCAGUAGCGGCACCAUCAGAGCCGAGAAUCACUUGGGCUGGCAACGCCGUACAUGUCGGAUCACUUUGAGUCUGAGGAGGCUUGGGAUCCACUGCAUCUGAACUCGAAAUCACUGCGGUGACCAUCGCGGUGCUCAUCGAGGCAUCACGGCACAAACAUCGACUUCUCUGGGUGAGACUAAUGGAGUGUGGGAAUGUACCGUUUGGUCUCGCGAGGUGUAAAGGAUGAGGAGACACCUUGAUCAGUUUUGGGCCGCCACACAAAGAUGGGCUUAUGAUUAUAGUGAUCGGCUUCUGAUGGGUUAUAAAGAAUGGCCUUGGUGUGGAUUUAAUAACAACAGCCUUGGUUUUUAUAUUAUUUGGGCUUACUUUAGAAAGGCCCACAUUCCAACCUUAAAGAUAUAUCCAAAGUGUGACUAGCUUCAGCCUUCAGUGCCGUUAGAAGCAACGCCUUUUAUCACAGACGAAAUAUCUGCCGCGGUCCUAUUUCUUUCUUUUUUUAAUACCUUUAUUUGCACAAGCUUCAUACAACUUCAACUAGAAACAAAGGUUUUGGGUUAGAUGGCAUCACAUGAGGAAGAUUGCUCUCCCGAUACUCUUGCAUUUAUGGAACUUGCGAUACAGCAGGCAAAGCUUGCUAUGGACAGCCUUGAAGUGCCUGUUGGCUGUGUGAUUGUUGAGGAGGGGAAAGUUAUUGCCUCAGGAAGAAAUCGAACUACUGAGACACGAAACGCCACAAGACAUGCGGAGAUGGAAGCUAUUGAUAUUCUUCUUGAGCACUGGCAGAAAAAUGGACUUUCAAAGUUAGAAGUCGCUGAAAAAUUUUCAAACUGCUACCUUUACGUUACCUGUGAACCAUGCAUAAUGUGUGCAGCUGCUUUAUCAAUUCUUGGUAUAAAAGAAGUAUGUUAUGGCUGUGCAAAUGAUAAAUUUGGAGGUUGUGGAUCAAUAUUGUCCUUGCAUUUAGGUAGCUCUGAGCCACUUAAAAGGUUUAUUUCUGGACCCAUCCUCGCAUCAUGGUGUUCCUCAAGGAAAGGGAUUUAAAUGUACUGGAGGAAUAAUGGCAUCAGAAGCAGUCUCUCUUCUACGAACAUUCUAUGAACAAGGGAACCCUAAUGCUCCAAAGCCUCACAGACCUUUGGCUCAACAGGCAACACGUUGAAUGUGCACACAUAUAGUUUGAUUCUCACUUAUAUUUGGGUGUUGAGCCAAGUGCAAACCAAAAAUUUCCGGUAGAAAAUAUUUGAGUAGUUCACAUACAAUUGUGAAUCUCUUAUUGGCUACAUUGCACAAGCUCAUCAGAGUAUGAUUUUUGAAGCCCUGGCUGAUACAGUGCGAUUCAUUGGAGUCUAAAGUUACAUUUAAUUUUUUUGGCUGAAU